rnacentral:rRNA from 1 species
UACAGAGGGUGCGAGCGUUGCUCGGAAUCACUGGGCGUAAAGCGCACGUAGGCGGCUUGUUAAGUCAGGGGUGAAAUCCUGGAGCUCAACUCCAGAACUGCCUUUGAUACUGGCGAGCUUGAGUUCGGGAGAGGUGAGUGGAACUGCGAGUGUAGAGGUGAAAUUCGUAGAUAUUCGCAAGAACACCAGUGGCGAAGGCGGCUCACUGGCCCGAUACUGACGCUGAGACGCGAAAGCGUGGGGAGCAAACAGGG